GAUGAACGCUAGCGGCAGGCCUAAUACAUGCAAGUCGGACGGGAUCCAUUGAUAGCUUGCUAUCAAUGGUGAGAGUGGCGCACGGGUGCGUAACGCGUGAGCAACCUGCCUCCAUCAGGGGGAUAGCCUCUCGAAAGAGAGAUUAACACCGCAUAAUAUCAACAGUUCGCAUGUUCAGUUGAUUAAAUAUUUAUAGGAUGGAGAUGGGCUCGCGUGACAUUAGCUAGUUGGUAGGGUAACGGCUUACCAAGGCGACGAUGUCUAGGGGCUCUGAGAGGAGAAUCCCCUACACUGGUACUGAGACACGGACCAGACUCCUACGGGAGGCAGCAGUAAGGAAUAUUGGUCAAUGGGCGGAAGCCUGAACCAGCCAUGCCGCGUGCAGGAUGACUGCCCUAUGGGUUGUAAACUGCUUUUGUCCAGGAAUAAACCUAAAUACGAGUAUUUAGCUGAAUGUACUGGAAGAAUAAGGAUCGGCUAACUCCGUG
rnacentral:rRNA from 1 species